rnacentral:rRNA from 1 species
ACGUGCAGGCUGAAACUCGCCUGCACGAAGUUGGAAUUGCUAGUAAUCGCGGAUCAGCAUGCCGCGGUGAAUACGUUCCCGGGUCCUUGUACACACCGCCCGUCACACCAUGGGAGCCGGAAAUGCCCGAAGUCAGUGACCCAACCGCAAGGAGGGAGCUGCCGAAGGUGGAGCUGGUAACUGGGGUGAAGUCGUAACAAGGUAUC